UUCACACCCGGGCCAUGCAUUUAUAAGGUCUUGGCCACGAAGCGUGGCGAGCAACGGAUUUACAACAGUUUUAGGGGAAUUUUUCACUGAAAUAAUUAUCAAUUGUUUGGAUAACGAUAUGAUAUUUUACAUCGUGUUUAACUUAUAUCCUGGUGCAAGAAUCAUUUGAAAAAAGCGGCGCUUUUCUCGAGAAAUUCACGCGACUAGCUAACAGAACAGUGCAUUCGAGAAUGGCGCCGAAAACGGAACCAUGGACACGUCAAGUGGUAAUGGCGAAUGAGCUGCUUCUCUGAGUUACAGUUACUAAAUUCCAGAUAAAAGAUUCCCUAAGAAACAGUUGCUUGUUGCACAAUCCCAAUGGGAAGCAAUUUUUCACCGGCUUAGAGGAAGGGUGAGUCUGCAGGAAGUCAGCGGUAAUGUAUACGUCGGAACCCGGUCGACAAGCCGUCGGAAGUCCCGACUGACAAAGUAAUUACAAGAUGGCGGCUGAGACACCUGGAAAUCGCGAAGAAUCUUCAAGACUUAGUUUUACAAUAAUUACGCUCUUCAUUUCUGCGGAAUUUUCCAAGUAUUGAAGGAUCCAAUGACCUGAGACAGCAGCCGCCGCUCAGUUUGGACAUUUAAGUUGAUUGAUGGAAUCCAA